rnacentral:sRNA from 1 species
GCCAGGCAUGGUGGUGCAUGCCUGUAGUCCCAGCUACUUGGGAGGCUGAGGUGGGAGGAUGGAUUGAGCUCAGGAGGUCAAGACUGCAGUGAGCUGUGAUUGUGCCACUGCACUUCAGCCUGGGCAAUAGAGCAAGACCCUGUCUCAA